AGAUCUCAAAGGAGCUGCAGUCCAGCAGUUUCUUGGACUCUGUACAACCUCAGUUCCUUAGAGGUGAAGCCAAGCUGUAACCUUUCAAGAAUAAAACUCAUGGAAUAUCCUGUGCUGGAAGGGGCUGAGUGGAGGGUUGCCCACCUGCUUUCUCUUGGACAUUUCCAGAAGAGGGAGUUGGAGGGAAGACUUGUUAUGCCCAAGCAGCUAUGUCAUUGUUGAGUACCGGGUGGGGAGUGACUGGAGGUGAUGGACGCAGUUGCAGAAUGGAGAUAGUAAAACUGCAUCCUGAGAAACAAAUGGAUGCAUGUGGGGGCCUACCUAAUGAACUCGAGACUGAUGAGAAGCUGCUGCAGAGGUGGCACCACCAACUUCCUAAAGGAAAAAGUCCCCACCUAGGAAGUUUUAUUUCAAUGCUUUUCUCUUCAGGGAAAAAAAAUAGGAAAAAAAAAAAAAAAAAGAAGGAAUUUUUCUUGUCUCAAACAUCAGUGGAAUUUACAGGAUAAGGCUGAAAGUCCAGUUUCAAACUCAGCUUUUCUGGUUGCAUUUCAAAGUCUUUCUUUUGAAACUGGAAAUAGGAAGUUUAUUCUCUUUCAUCUCAAUUUGCUGCUGAGGGCAGUGAGAUGAUUCAUGUCCUGGAGUCUGGCUUUACUGCCUGCAUUUUACUUCCCCUUUGUUUUCUCCAACUGUAGGAAAGUUAUCGAGUAGGAAUAGGAGCACUAAAAUCAUGACACCAUGUCACCUGAUGACUUGUCCAGCAAUGAUGAAAUUUCAACUGGAAAAGAACCAAGAAAGAGGAGAGAUGAAUGAACCAGUGAUUUAUUAGAAAUAAACUUCUUAGAGGCCAGAAUUUGCAUUUUCAUUCAUCUUGAAUAAAAAUAACUUUUCUUAUUUGUUUCACAUCAAA